rnacentral:rRNA from 1 species
GACAAACCCCAUAGAGGUGGCAAGCUCGAUCAUGUCAGAUCUCAGAAGCUAAGCAGGCUAGAGCCUGAUUAUUCCUUGGAUAGACGACCAUGUGAAAAACAGGUGCUGUAGGCU